GACAGGGAUGGUGGCGACGCGGGUGGGAGUCAGGAUAAAAGGCCCCUUAGCCCUUUUACCGGGGAGGAGAAUUUCGAUCAUUCUACACAGGACCCUGACCAUGGUUCUCGUCCAGGAGAACCACGACCCCGUCUUGUUUACAAUAAGACAUACAUGCGUCAAAAGCUACUGCAGAAAAAGAAGACUCAUAAACUUUCAGAUUUUGAGGAGCUGCUGGCAAAAUGCAUGAGGGACACAAGCGUUCGUGGCAGGCGAGGUGGCUCUAGAUUUGGAUCACAGACGAGGGAAAUCGACUCGAGUUCUGUGCCAUAGUAUGGGCAUGGAUAUGGACCUAGUGGAUAUGCGACGAGUGACUCCAGCAGUUACGACACAUCAUUUUUCAACCCUGGUCAGGAGUUCACUUCUGCAUAUGGGCAAGGAUAUGAGUAGCAGUAUGGAUAUGGCCAACAAUAUGGAUACCAAGGAGCUUCAUAUGUGCCCUUCCCAGAUCCAUAUCAGUUAAAGAUUGUGACGAUUACGCAGUACCCACGGAUGGGCGUAUUGAUUCAGUUCGGAGAGGAUGAGUACCAGUGUUAUGUCAAGGAGUAUCUUAACUGGUACCACUCUACUAUGACUUGGGCACAAUAUUGUCGAUUUGUGGAGCAGCAGUACUAUACUCAGCCCCGUCAAGAUGGAGAUGAUGAUUACGAGCCACCACGCAACUCUAUGUGGGUCUAGACCACAACUAGUCCCCAUCAUUGAUAUGGAUAUUCUCAAAUUUUACUUCUUUAGUUCUUCUUUUGCUUUUCAAUGAAUUGGUUGUGUUUUCAUACAUGACUAUGAUAUAUUUAUAAAUAUCAUGCAUUCAAUUUAAAAAUAGUUGCGUUAGUUCAGUUAAACAUCGCAUAACUUAGGACCCUAUACAAAGGAAAUUUAUUAUGUGCAUCUUUUUUUUGAGAUAUUAUGAUUUAAAAGUGUGUAUUAAGGGCCUUUUUAACAAUCCCCAAACUUUCAUUAAAAAAUUCAACCAUUUUCCCAAUGUUUCCC